CCUUGAUGACGACUGGCGCACGGGUGAGUAACGCGUAUCCAACCUUCCCAUAACUACGGGAUAACCCGUUGAAAGACGGCCUAAUACCGUAUGACAUCGUUUGCUGACAUCAAAUAACGAUUAAAGGUUUAGCGGUUAUGGAUGGGGAUGCGUCUGAUUAGCUUGUUGGCGGGGUAACGGCCCACCAAGGCUACGAUCAGUAGGGGUUCUGAGAGGAAGGUCCCCCACAUUGGAACUGAGACACGGUCCAAACUCCUACGGGAGGCAGCAGUG
rnacentral:rRNA from 1 species